UACGGAGGGGGCGAGCGUUGUUCGGAAUUACUGGGCGUAAAGGGCGCGUAGGCGGCCUGUUGCGUCGGGUGUGAAAGCCCUGGGCUCAACCUGGGAAGGGCACUCGAAACGGGCAGGCUCGAAACCGAGAGAGGAUCGUGGAAUUCCCAGUGUAGAGGUGAAAUUCGUAGAUAUUGGGAAGAACACCAGAGGCGAAGGCGGCGAUCUGGCUCGGAUUUGACGCUGAGGCGCGACAGCGUGGGGAGCAAACAGGAUUAGAAACCCCCGUAGUCC
rnacentral:rRNA from 1 species